AGGAAGUAACAUUGAAUCGUGCACUCAAAGGAAUGUAAGCGAGAUUAUCGGCAACCACGCUGGCGAUGCUAGCGGGCUAUAUGCUAAUAGCAGACUCGGGAAGUCAAAAUAGA